rnacentral:rRNA from 1 species
UACGAAGGGGGCUAGCGUUGCUCGGAAUCACUGGGCGUAAAGGGUGCGUAGGCGGGUCUUUUAAGUCAGAGGUGAAAUCCUGGAGCUCAACUCCAGAACUGCCUUUGAUACUGAAGAUCUUGAGUUCGGGAGAGGUGAGUGGAACUGCGAGUGUAGAGGUGAAAUUCGUAGAUAUUCGCAAGAACACCAGUGGCGAAGGCGGCUCACUGGCCCGAUACUGACGCUGAGGCACGAAAGCGUGGG